rnacentral:rRNA from 1 species
AAAACUUUACAAUGCGGGAAACCGUGAUAAGGGAACUCCGAGUGCCCGUAAAUUCGGGCUGUCCAUCAGUUUAAAUAACUGGUGAAGAAAGGGCCGGGCAAGACCGGUGCCAGCCGCCGCGGUAAUACCGGCGGCUCGAGUGGUGGCCACUAUUACUGGGCUUAAAGCGUCCGUAGCUGGUCUGUUAAGUCUCUGGGGAAAUCUACCGGCUUAACCGGUAGGCGUCUCAGGGAUACUGGCAGACUAGGGACCGGGAGAGGUGAGGGGUACUCCAGGGGUAGGAGUGAAAUCCUGUAAUCCUUGGGGGACCACCUGUGGCGAAGGCGCCUCACCAGAACGGCUCCGACAGUGAGGGACGAAAGCUGGGGGAGCAAACCGGAUUAGA